UACGUAGGGUGCGAGCGUUUAAUCGGAAUUACUGGGCGUAAAGCGUGCGCAGGCGGUUCGUUGUGUCCGAUGUGAAAGCCCCGGGCUUAACCUGGGAAUGGCAUUGGAAAUUGGCGAGCUUGAGUGCGGCAGAGGGGGGUGGAAUUCCGCGUGUAGCAGUGAAAUGCGUAGAGAUGCGGAGGAACACCAGUGGCGAAAGCGGCUUUCUGGUCCUUAACUGACGCUGAGGCGCGAAAGCAUGGGGAGCGAACGGG
rnacentral:rRNA from 1 species